rnacentral:lncRNA from 1 species
GGGCCUUUGAGCCCCAGGCCCAGGAUGCCUGAUGCUGUGUGGAGGUGACACCUUCCAGCUCCCUCGGUGAUGCAGUGCUGGACCAAAACCUGCCCUGUGCAGCAAUGAUUGCGAGCCGUCUUCUCCCACGUGGCUGUGUUUGGCCCUGGUCCAUCAUCAAGUCAGUCCUACUGCUGUGAAAGGUUGUAAACUUGUUUGAGUUGGAUGUGUUCACUUGCAACCAGAAGAUGCAGAGGCGGUCAGUGCGAAGAUGGACAGAGAUUAUUCUAAGAAGGGCAAGGAAGUAAACGAGAAAGUCCUUUGCCCUCACUGCUGUUUGUAGUUACCGGUGAUAACUAAGCAGACAUGUGGAGAGGGAAAGUGUCUGGCUGAGAAAAUCACCAGAAAUGAUGGAGAUGGUGCCCUGAUAGAACUGGACCUGAAGCUCUGCACUUGUGUGCUUCAAUACAAACCAGGUUUCUGGACUCACACAGACUUGAAACCAAAGCCAGGCUUGACCACAGAUAGUUCGAGGCUCCAGGAUGUUCCUGAGAUGGCGAAGCUGGCAUCCCUCACGGUCUGAAGGCAGGGGAGGCCCUGAGCUAGCCAAGGAGACCUCACACUGGAACACGAUGAAACUGUCUGUCAGAUGAGGUCCUAGAAGUUACCACAUGGGAAUGAAUAAGGAAGAUGCAAAAUGUAGUGAAAGAGACCAGUCAUCUCCCACGGUGGAGGCACAGCUGAGUAUCUGAGAACACGUGAUUGAAGGGUCUCUCCCACCUGCAUGCCCAGGGCGUCCUUCAGGGAGAAUGAUGGGGGAGGGGUGAUGCCAGGGGGAAGCCUGGGCCACCAGAAGAGAAUGGGCUGCAUGGUACCUCUAAAGAGGGCAGCUCGUGGGGGGAACGCGUUGGUUUCCCAGCAUCCUGGAUACAUGGCACCUGGUGGGGGGAGACCUGUCCUUAUGGAGAAGGUAAGGUUACAAACAUUUAUCUUAAUAACUGACGCGCAGUGCUGGGCAUGUGGUGGCUCAUUAUGCUAUUCUAUUUUUGUAUAGAUGACAUUUGCCAAAAUAAAAAGUGAAAGAGAGAAAGAGAAGAAAAAUAAACAUAUCUUGCUUCCCAUACAGCUUUCCAAUUCCAAUCUGACUACCCAGGAGUUCCCUUCAUGGCUCAGUGGUUAACGAACCUGACUCCAAUCCACAAGGAUGUGGGUUUGAUCCCUGGCCUCGCUCAGUGGGCUAAAGACCCAUCAUUGCCGAGAGCUGUGGUAUAGGUUGCAGACGUGGCUCAGAUCUGGCGUUGCCAUGGCUGUGGUGUAGGCUGGCAGCUGUAGCUCCAAUUCGACCCCUAGCCUGAGAACUUUCAUAUGCCAUGAGUUUUGCCCUAAAAAGCAAAAAAAAAAAAAAAAAAAAAAAAAAAAAAGUUCUGACUACCCAUCGUUCUGUUGGUAAAGAUGACUCUGACCCUGGCCACAUGGUCUUGGAUUACUUGGUGAUUAUGUUUCCCUUUGCAAAUGUGGUGGCAUUAAGAAUGUGGCAUUCAAGUUUGGAUUGGCACUGCUCACAGUGUGGUAUAAGGAUCAAAGUUUAUGUGUGAACUGAACUGUUACCAGAAUACAAGAGAGUUGAGAGUAAAUACUUAGAAACUUCUGUAGCCAUUGACUUUUCCCUACCAUCCAAGUUCAUGGUCAGUGGAUGGGUCUCAUGAACAGGGAUUGAGGGUAGUCAAACUAGGGUGAUGACGGUUAUGUGGUGUGAACUGUGGCUUGAUCAUGCUCAGUGGGACUAUACAUCAGACUGUGAUGGACUAGAUUUUUUUUUUUUUCCCCACUGUACAGCAAGGGGGUCAGGUUAUCCUUACAUGUAUACAUUACAAUUACAUUUUUUCCCCCACCCUUUGUUCUGUUGCAACAUGAGUAUCUAGACAUAGUUCUCAAUGCUAUUCAGCAGGAUCUCCUUGUAAAUCUAUUCUAAGUUGUGUCUGAUAAGCCCAAGCUCCCGAUCCCUCCCACUCCCUCCCCCUCCCAUCAGGCAGCCACAAGUCUCUUCUCCAAUGGACUAGAUAUUUUUUAAUCACGACAUACAGCUCAAGUCCUUGGGACUUUCAGUGGCAUCACCUAGCCCUUUAGAAUCUAGUCCUGGAGAACCCCAACAAGAACAGAUUUCUAGACCCAUAGGGAGUAAGGCCUCCCUAUGCUCUGGAUUGUGUCUCCCUAGGGCCCUGCCCGGGCCACCUGCCCAUCUUCCCUGCCCUGCCCUCACCCCUUCUCACCCAGGUUGAAAAGCAACAGAUGCCGAGAGCCUGCAGGGCGGGGCGGUUUCUCUGGCCAAAGCCAGAUCCCUUUGCUCCUUUUCUUUUUUCAAAUUAAAAUGGAGAUGUGCUUCGGCUGCCUCUCCCAGAUCCCUGUUUUUGGGAGGGCCUAGCAGGGACAGAGGGCCAUGCAGGAGCCCCACACAAGCUGUCGAGGCUGUUCUGGAAGUGGGUAAUCUCAGAAAGGAUGAUUUAGAGCGUGGCAUGGCAGGGUUGGAGGCAGCGAGGUAGCUGUUCCCCACGGCGCUCAUUAAGCUUCCAUAGAUUGCAUUUCCUGCCUCCCCCGCUAGCCCUCCAAAGUGCCUGUUAUUAAUUCAUAAAAACACUGCAAGCGUGAUUGAGUCCGCUGAUUACUGGAGCAGGCAGACACAAGAGACGGUAAAAUAUUCCGUGUCUCUCUAUCAGGCUCUCAGGGGCUCGGGAGGAAGAAAAAAAAAAAAAAA